GGGGGCAUAGUUCAAUGGUUAGAACGACGGUCUCCAAAACCGUUAAUCGGGGUUCGACUCCUCGUGCCCCCG
rnacentral:tRNA from 1 species